GAAAUAAUAGCUCACUCGGUUAGAGUGUGGUGCUGAUAACACCAAGGUCACGGAUUCAAUUCCCAUUCGGUCCC
rnacentral:tRNA from 1 species